rnacentral:rRNA from 1 species
UACGUAGGGGGCAAGCGUUGUCCGGAAUCAUUGGGCGUAAAGCGCGUGUAGGCGGUUCGAUUAGUCUGCUGUGAAAGUCGGGGGCUCAACCCUCGAAUGCCGGUGGAUACUGUCGGGCUAGAGUGCGGAAGAGGCGAGUGGAAUUCCCGGUGUAGCGGUGAAAUGCGCAGAUAUCGGGAGGAACACCAAUGGCGAAGGCGGCUAUCUGGACAGAAACUGACGCUGAGGCGCGAAAGCUAGGGGAGCAAACAGG